rnacentral:lncRNA from 1 species
UCAAGAAUCGAGUAUUAGGAUGUUUAGUUUUUAAUUUUUUUUAAGUUGUUGGAGAUGUACUUUAAAUAACCGAUUACAAUCCACCAUAUAGAUAGGUUGUCAGACCUAUAGUCGUUGUCUUAAUAGUUGUAUCAUGAUAAUAGUUUUAAAUGUUGUCAUCAUAAUCGUGCAGGCAUGUUCAUGGCACUGCGAUCCGUGCUGGUGCGCAUUUGCACAUAGGGUAUGUGUGUGGGAGUGCCACUACACUCCAAGUAGCUCUGCACAUUCCAGUAAGCCUUGCGCGUCGUGUU